AGAACGAACGCUGGCGGCAGGCUUAACACAUGCAAGUCGAGCGCCCCGCAAGGGGGAGCGGCAGACGGGUGAGUAACGCGUGGGAACAUACCCUCCGGUUCGGAAUAGCUCAGGGAAACUUGGAUUAAUACCGGAUACGGCCUAGCGGCGAAAGAUUGAUCGCCGGAGGAUUGGCCCGCGUCUGAUUAGCUAGUUGGUGGGGUAAUGGCCCACCAAGGCGACGAUCAGUAGCUGGUCUGAGAGGAUGAUCAGCCACAUUGGGACUGAGACACGGCCCAAACUCCUACGGGAGGCAGCAGUGGGGAAUAUUGGACAAUGGGCGCAAGCCUGAUCCAGCCAUGCCGCGUGAGUGAUGACGGCCUUAGGGUUGUAAAGCUCUUUCGCUAGGGACGAUAAUGACGGUACCUAGACAAGAAGCCCCGGCUAACUUCGUGCCAGCAGCCGC
rnacentral:rRNA from 1 species